UUAAAAUGUCCGCCAAAAGACAAGCCACAACUCAACUCAAUAAAGAUAAUUGGGAUCAAGAUCCUACUUCAAAUAGUGAUAAUGACGAUACUGUAAAUGUUCAAAACAAAGAUUUAAUAUCCAAAAGAAAAAUUUUAGUUGCAAAGAGAAGAAGUGGUGGAUCUUCUAGUUAUGUAGCACCCCAAAAAGGCCUUGACACUUUGUCUAAAACCUAUUUUAAUAGUCAUAUAAAUGAACACAAACAAAAUGAUAAUAUACAUCAACCAUUUUCAAAUGGAUUUAAUCCCAGUGAUACAAGGUCAAUUAAAGUUCAAAAUUUACAUCCUAGACAAUCUUUUUCAGAUACAUCAUCAUUUGCAUCUACAAAACCAUUGCCUAGUAAGAUGUCCAUAAGUAUUCCCCCCAAUAAUUUUAAUUUAGCAACUCUUAAAGAUACAAAAGAUUCUUAUAAAUCUUUAAAAUUUGUCACAAAUUAUAAACCUGGUGAAAUCAUGCAAACAUUUAGGUUCAAUUCCCAACAGCCUAUCAUUUCAAAUACAUCAGUGGUUUCCAAAUCACUGCCCACAUUUCAAUUAAGCAACCACGAUUCUCAAAAUUUGAACUUUAAAAAUAGUUUUGUUAAACCUUAUGAUAAUGGUCUAAAUAAUAACUUUAAUUCAAAUUUUAUACCAAGUAAUCUUACAUCCACAUCUCCCAAAGAUUCAUUGGAUGAUCAAAGUAAUGUAAAGUCAGAAGCUCUAUAUUAUUCAUGUGUCACCAAGCUUAACUCCUCAGUCUCUAAAUGGAUAUCUGCGGUUAUUCAAAUACACCCAACUGGUGAUCUUACACUCAUAUUUGAAAAAUAUAAAAGCUAUCUUGAAAAAUUAAGGUUUGAUUUUGAUGUACAUGUUGUUUCCUUAGAUGAAGACAAUAUCAAUCACAGACAUGAAAAUAAUAAUAACUCGCCUCAAAGUCAAGACUUUAAUAACCUUGACCAACUAUCGUACAAAUUCCAGCCAGAGGCGUCCAUCAUUAAAAUAGAUGGCAAUCAUGUUGACCACUCUGAGCGUGGUACAAAAAAUGAUAGUCCUAAAAAGCCUUCCACAGAAUCUAAAAUCGAAUUUCCUCCUCCUUUCAGCUUUUUUGGCAAAAACGAACCUUCUACUCUUCAAAAUAGUAUUGGAUUCCAUUUAACAAACAAUAAAGAUGGAACCACCAGCAAUUUAGCGCCAUCUAUUGACAACAAACCAUUUACUUUUGGUUUUCACCAGGAUGAUAGUUAUCAAGGUGAGGGAACUGAUACUAUCGAUAAUCAUCCUAUGACCUCAAAUCUUGAUGAACAAGGUGACGUCAUUGUGCCAAAUGUUCAAUCAGAAGAACCCAUUUGGCAAGAGGACAAUUGUCUUAUCACUCUGAAAUGCAAACUUUACAGAAAAGAUGCUUUCUCGCAAUUCAAAGACGUUGGUUUGGGUUUUUGUUACCUAAAACAAAACCGAAAACUUCAAUUACUUGUAAGGGCCUCGAAUGCGUCUGGGACCAUAUUGCUUAACGCCACCGUCACAAAAGGGAAGACGCCGGUCACAUUGUCAGAUCAAAUGGAUCAAUCAACUAUGAAGAGAAUUGUUAACCUAGACAUCAAACUACGGAGCUAUCAUGUAUAAUGGAAAUGAUUACUAAAAUUGGGAUAUAAUGACUUACAAAUUAUUCUAAAUACACAGACACGAUUGAUUUUAGCUACUGGAAUAUAGACAACUAGAUAAAAAAUAUUUCUGGAAUGAUGACAAAGUCGAAUCACAUACUAAACCGUUUUUUUAAAAGAUUUGGAGGGAGCAAGGCAAGAUAAGAUUUUACAACCAAAAUAACUAUCAUUUAUCAAGACGAAACUAUGAAAGAUUUUAUGAACUAAAUAGAUAAAACGUACAAAAGAUCAACGAAGGGGUUAACGAGCAAGAAUGACAUACAACUAAAUUAUAGACAGAGGGCAAAUAAAAAAAAAAGAAAAAAAAGUGUGAAAUGUUAAAUAAUAUUAACUUUAAAAAAUUAUUUUUUUUUAU